UUUGAAUGUUAUAAAUGUGACGCACCAUAAUAACCGACUAAGCAUGCAUAAUUCGAUAAAUAAUUAAACUACAGAAUUAUAAAAUAUUAAAGCUACAAGUCUAAAUCCACAUCCCCGGAAUCACCAGGAAUGAGUAUGAACAACAUCUAAAGUUAUUACAAUCCAAAAUAAAAUUCAAAGUUAUUACUACAAGUUUUAAAAUCCCCAAAAGUCUUAAAAGAUAAAGUUAGGGAACUAUGAGUUCCCAACCUGCUCCAUCAUACGGCGGUAGGCAAUACCCGAUCCUGAGGUGGUCUUACGGGCAGUUUGCUUGAAUCGAGCCAUCCUCGGGUUUCACUGAAGGGUUAUCAUAAAUAAUACAAUUAAUGAGCAAAAAGCUCAGCAAGUGAAAGCAGUAUAUAACAGUUCACAAUAUGCAAUAUAAACAAUUGCAACAAUAUCAAGGAAUAUCACAAGGUAUAAUCUCAAUAAAGGUGCAAAAUGAGAUAGCAAUUUAUUGGAAUUGGAAACACACAACGCUACGAGCAUUGAGGGAUGAUCAGCCAUCAGGCUCCCCGCUACUGAUACUGCAAUUAAUUGACUGGCGCCUCAGUCUUAUAAUAAAAAUAUUAUCCAAUUCCUUUUAAGGUAAAUUCAAUUUCGAUAAAAAGGGGUCUUGAUCAAAGACAAGUCAUUCAGCAAAGGUAUUUUCAAAGUUUAAGUGAUCUUUCUAAAAUAAGGGAAUGUUAUUAAGAUUAGGGUUCCAAAAGAGAUAAUUCAGUUCAAUGUGGGGUAUCAAGUUCUCAUUCUUUAUCAAGGGACAAUUGGAGUAUAAUCAUGUGGGUGUAAGGUGAUACUAAAUGAAAAGGUCAAUUCAAGUAUUAAGGGUAUUAUUGAACUCCAACGUUUGAUCAUAGGGUGAUAAUAAGGUGAUUCAGUUCUAGAUAAGCAGUAACAAUGCAUUCACAGGGUAUACAAUUAUCAAGCAAGUAUAAAGGAGAGUUUCACUUGCCUGGACUAAGCUUACUUAACACUUGUACUGAAUCUUCUAGAGGUUCCUUGCCUGGCCUCGUACUUGCACCUAUAAUUAAUAGUAUCCUCGUCACCACAAUGCUAACUACCUUUUCGUGUGUGUGUGUGUGUGUGUGUGUGUGUGUGUGUAUACACAUAUAUAUAUAAAUAUAUACACUUAAGCUUAAUUAAUAACAAAUCACAUACUCCUCAAGUAAUGCACAUAACAAGUAAGGCAUGGCAUUUUAUCAAUUAGCUAUUAUCACUUAAUAGUCUCUAAUUAUACCUAAGUCACUUAAGCAAUUAGUCAAGUAACACAUAAGGUCUAAGACCAACACUUCCUAAUUACACUUUAUUGACCUCAACUUAACCAAAUAAGAGUAAGGCACACUUGUGCCCCACCUCACAAGACUCACCAAUGAAAUGCAUCCUAUUUGACGUACUAAAAUGCUUGCCUUGGCAACACUUGUGUGCCUUGGAAAAAAUGAUGCUUCUAUACUAAGUGCAUUGACCUAUAAUAACAUUAAUAAUCCUAAUAUCAAUUAAUAAUUAAUAUUUAAUCAAUAUUUAUUUCAUUUCUAAUUUCCAAAAAACUUUGCAGCCCUGCUCUUCUCUACCACGCCAAACAUAUCCAACAUUAUUAUACUUUCGACGGUGUAAGCCUCCUGUCAAAACCACCAUUCUCCGUCUCAUCCCUCCCCGAGACCUGUACAAUAGCCUCGAUCUCCCUCUCUCGUCUCAUCCCUCCCCGAGACACCUGUACAAUAGCCUCAUCUCCCUCUCUCGUUACUGCAACAACUACACAACCCUAUUCCCCAUCUUCUUUAUUCACUCUCCCUCUCUGUCGCUGAUUCUACAAUCAGCGCAGCCACUACAGUCGGCUGAACAACAGCUCUGCCAACAAUAAACCAAGCCACACCAUUGUCCAACAUAGCCACAAAUUCUCUUCUGCAUUAACUCUGCCUCAGUACCUUAUCAAACUUCAAAAUCAAUGUCCUAUAUAUAUCUUUCAUUACUCAAUCAAACAACUUGUACAACCCUCCUGUAUAGGCGGCAACAUCUGCCACCAAACCACCAUUUCCUUUCCCAUCUCCUUACUGUACUACACUUACCACCUGAUUCUUAUUCUUUUCAUUGCUUCAAUCCUGAUCAGCCAACCAUAGUCACCAGAAACAUCAAAAACAAACCUGCACAUAACUAAUUGGAACACCCAGAAAUCACAAUCUAAUCCUACACACCAGCGAAACACCAAUUCCCUUCCCUAAUUUCCCCAACCUACCCUGUCAAACAACUAUCAAUGGAACUACUCAACAACCCCAGGCACACCUGCCCCCAUAACACCCACCUUCCUUAAGCUCACCAACAGCCACACAAAUCAGCCCCAUUCCGAAAUCCUUAACACCACCAGAUUAUAACCAACUGCUGAGUCAAAAACCAGCCGCCUGUAACAAAACAGUUGUUGCAAUCACAGCCGUAAGCAAAUUUCCUCCAUCAUCACACCACUAAGCAGUCGUCCCCUUCGACUUCAUCUUUCUCUUCCCCGCAGCCACUGGGAAUCAAAAGCAGCGCCACUACUUUCCGUCGCCGCCACCACACAUGGCUGCUACCGCGCUGCAACCACGAAGCCACCAUAGUCAAUCAAAACACCACAUGCGACUCUCUCUGUCCGGUUACUCGAACCCACCACCAGUUACAACUCAAUUCCGACGAAGUUGUCACUGACCCAAACAGCACCUCCUCUGCUUCCUUUCUCAACAAGCGGCGCGGCUUCCCUACANCUCCAAUCGACCACAUCCAACUGAGCACUUACUCAAUCCAACCCCUGCGACAACAUCGGAAACUCUGUCCCAAUCUCUGCAAUACCAGCGCCCAGCGGCGUCGCCGCCAUACCCGGAGAGCCGAUCCCAUCACCACCACAACUCGAAUCAUGAUAUACAACAAGUAAAAAUCGCUUAUACACGAAAUCGAAUCCUUACCAGUAUGAAUCAAAGUGAGAAGAAGAAGAAAAAUUUGGAGAACCCUAAUUCCCAAUUGAGACUCAGCCGCCUCUGUUUUGCUCUUGAUAUUAGUCUGAUUUGUUUUGGGG
rnacentral:lncRNA from 1 species